UAAUUUAUUAUUGGUAAAGAAAAACUGUUUUAAAUAUAGUAUAGUCUUAAGUGUACAGUGUUUCUAAAUUCCACAGCAGUGUACAGUAACGUCCUAGGCCCUCACAUUCACUCAUCACUCACUCACUGACUCACCCAGAACAACUUCCAGUCCUGCAGGCUCCAUUGAUGGACUUCAAGGCUCUAAGGAUGGAAGAGCUAUAGUUGGAAAGAGCCUGGGUACCUGAAUCACUGUAUGGAGGAAAAUCACUUGCUGAGCAGGAACAUCCUCAUUGGACUAGUUAUGUGGUUAAGAAAGAACCCUGGAAUUGGGGUGUUUAUUUGUUACAGCACAACCUUAACAAAGUGCUCGUAUUUUUAGCAGCACAUUUGAAAGGAUUAAUUUGCAUGUAUAGUAAUGACACUAUUACACUGUUGACACCUCAGCAUAGUGUCAUUGUCUGAAUAGAACUAUUUACUGCCCUGGUCACUCUCUUAGAUACUCAUAAAGCAAAGUUCUCACAGGUCUUAGCAAAUGCAUAGUCUUGUUUCUUGGUGUGUAUCAAGCUGUGGCCUGUACCACAUGGAAACCUGUGAAAGCCCAGCUCAGCAUUCCUGCCUGCCUAGACACCAUGUCAGCAGCAUGAAUCAUAGUUGUAUAAACUUUACCUACCAAUUGCAGUGCCUUGGGAAGGAGUCACAGCACUUCUUGCCUCCUCGGUUGAGAAUCACUGAUUUACAGUGAUCUGGUCAAGACUUUUUGCUGGCAAUCUAAAAAGGAAGACAAAUCAACCCAUGUAUGGCUGUAUUCGUAGCCCCUAAAUAGGGAAAUACUAUAAUUUGUUAAACAUUUCCCAUAUUUUUCAAACAUUUAGGUUGUUUCUAAUUUUGUACUGUCAAAACUAACUGUAUAUUAAAGACUAUUUUUGAAUAAAUAUUUCUGCCCUCAUGUUUGUUUCCUUAGGCUAUAAUAUUUCUAUCAGGAGCUAUGUUUUUUCAUUUAUUUAUGUGGAUUUUAAGGGACUAGUAGGAAUAAGCCCCAUUCUGUGGGGGCAGACAGGAGGGAAGGGCAUGUGUCCGAUGGAAUUGUGAAAUAGCGUGUCUGUGCCAGGAGCGGCCUGCAGUUCUGCAUGAGGAAAGUGCAGCGUCCUUUAGAGCCUUGAAUGGGGUUGAGCCUUGAAGGGAGGUGCCUUUCCUGGGUGCCUUAGAUCUUCUGCUAAGGAAUUUCCUAUUUCCUCUGGUAAUAGGAGCCACUGAAGAGUGUGAAAAAAGGCAUUAUUAACUGCAUGGCUCUGGGCAAUUCACUUCACCAGGAUGAACCUGGGUCUCCACCUGUCUUCUGGGGUGAGGGAAAAGACUGAAUCCUCUAGUGAACAUGAAGGUGUCCAGCUCAGCAAGCAGCAGCUUCUGGAGGGCAGAUCCCCACCUCCUCUGUGUGAUCGCCCACUCUGUGGAGGGGCCAUUUUAAGGAAGCCAAGCAGGGCUCUUCUGUCGCCCAGGGUUUGUAGUGUGUGUGAUUUGUGAACAUCUUUGAGCAGACUUCUCUUUAGGGGACUGGGACGACUCCACCGGGCUGUGCUUGCUGUGCUGACAUACCUUUUAGAGCUGCAGAAGCUGAAGGACUGCAGAUUUUUUAUUUUUAUUUUUAGACAUAGGAGAGCUCUUAGACUAGGGUUGCAAACCACCUGUCUUCUAUAGGUGAGCUGCAAAUUCUAACACUUAGAAUCUAGCAAAUAUUUACUGAGUACCUACUAAUUCCCUGCAUGUUAUGGGUCCAGGAGAUAUGUCAAUGACUGAGGCAGACAAAUUUCUGCACUCACAGACCUUACAUUAUAGUGAAAAAUGAUGCAGGCAAGCCCCAAAGUGGAGCUUGGCCCACUGGGUUCUUGGCUUUUCCCAGAAAAUUCAAGGGCAAGCCAAAGGUAGAAGGAAACAGCUUUAGCAAAGAGGCGGUGUUAUAGGGCUACCGCAUAGGCAGAGAACAGUAGCUCAGGGUAGUUUUGCAGUCAUAUUUAUAUAACCCACUUUUAAUUGCGUACAGAUUAAGGGGUGGUUUAUGCAGAAAUUUCUAGGGGAAGCAGUAGUAACUUUUGGGUCAUUGGGUCAUUGCCAUGGAAAGGAGUGAUAACUGCCUGGGUGUUGCCAUGGCAAUGGUAAAUUGACAUGGCACACUAAUGGGCAUGUCUGAUUGAAAGUUGCUUUUGCCCAAGCCUUGUUUUAGCUAGUCCUCAAUCUGGUCUGGUGUCUGAGCUCUGCCUCUCCUCUGAUGUCAGGCUUCACCUCCUACCUCAGGAAGGCAAAUACAAUAGAAAUAGGGGAGAAAUGAAACUAACACAAAAAUUUGAUAAGUUUGUAAUGAGUGCCGUCAUGGGAAAUCAAGAAUCUGAGUAAGAGAAUUGAAGGGACCCAUUUGAGGAAGGAAAUCAGGAAAGGCUGUUCUGAGGAGGGAAUACUUAAACCCAGAUUUAGAGGAAGAAGAGAAACUAUGGUUGCAAAUAAAGGAGGGGUGGGAGGAAAUAUUCCAAGGGGAGGGAAGAGCCCAUGUAAAGACCCAGAGAUGGGGAGAAGCUGGGUCUGAUAGAGGAACUGAAAAACCACCAGUGUGUCUGAAGCAAAGUGGGUGUGGCAUGGGAUGAGGAUGAGAGGCAGUACAACCAAGCUGCAGGGAUCUGGUCAACACUUUGUUGGCAAUGGAAAAAAUAAAACAACUAUGUAACACAGUGGUUAAAGUGCAGGCUCUGGAGUUUCAGACAGGCUUGGGAGCAAAUUACCUUUUCUCUGCCACUCAUUAGCUGUGUGAUCUUGGACAUGUCCUUUCCCAAGGAGGAGGCAACUUACUCUGCACCUUCAGUGACGUGAUCAGGCAGAAUGGAACACCAGCAUGUCUGAAUCCUAGGGUUUGGCACUGGGGCAGAAUUCUGCAAGACAUGACCUGCCCAUCAGGGGCUGUGGUCUGCCAGUCUGAUAAGCUGCAUUUCCCCUUUCUUUGUUGAAACUUGAGAGCAAGUGGUGUUCCAGGCAAAAAUUCAGAUGCUAUGUCAAAGGGAAACAGUUACUGAAGCCACAGAUGCUCUUUGUUCAUUAAUGAUACUAGAAUCUGGCUGGGGAGGGCUCAGACCCACAGAAAUUGGACUCUGCGACCCCAGUGACUCAAACCCCUUGUGAAAUGCUGGCUGCUUGGUAUGAACUGAUGCCUCAACAGUAUUAGCAGCAGCUAGCUCUGGAGUUUCUGGGCAGUCCUGCGGGCUGGAAGCUGGGGAGGCUGCUGUAAGGUUGUCUGGAAAAUAUUUCAAAUGGACAAUUUACUGGGAAAGGGUGUGUCCUUGCUUUGUAGCUAAUGCUGUGGGGACCCUCUGGUGGCCACAGUGGGAGCAGCUCAGCAGUGGGGUUUGCUUUCUCUUGAGUGACCCAGGCAGGAAGCCUUGGCUGGAAAGCAGAGGACUGAAUGUGGGGCUGGAAAGGUGACCCAGUUGGCUUGAGAUGGAGGCUGUGAUUUAGGUUGACACCUCACCCCAUUUUCUCUUGCUUUUGGUACCAUUUGUCUGGGCUUGAGCAGUGAGAAGAGUAAUGCUCUGUGUACAAGAUGUCAAAAAGAAAAAAAAAAGAUGAAAA